AGCCGCUGUGCAUUAACCCCGGAGCAGUUAUGACAUAUCUCGAAUACCCGAGCGUGAUCCUCCACCCCCUGCCGCUGCCCGGGUACCGUUCCCACCCUGCACCCAGAAGGACAGACAGACACACGGCUCAGCAUGUCCGACAGCCCCAGCCCAGGAGGGGCCCCCCAGGGGGGAGCCCCAAAUGAACCCGAGGGGCAGCCCCCCUGCGCUGAGCUCAAAGCGGCCAUGGAGAAAUGCGUGAGGGAGAACGGGGAGGAGUCGUGCAAGGAGCUGAUGGAAUCGUACCACGAGUGUCUCCGUGCCCUGGGCAUCAAGGUCUAGCAGCCCCCACACAGUGCUGGCGUGGCCAAUGGGUGCAGGGUCACCUGGCGGAGCCCGGCUGAGAGGGCGAAGAGCCACGAAGACACACCAGCGGCCGUGGAGGGGGCAGCUGCUCCAGAUUCGGGGGGGGAGGGGGGAAAGGAUGGGGGGCAGGGCUAUAAACUGGCAACAUUUUA